GAGAUUUAGUCCAUUAUCUUCAUGGUAGCAUGCAGGCAGAUGUGGUGCUGGAGAAGGAGCUGAGAGUUCUACAUCUUGAUCCACAGGGAGCAGAAUCAAUUGUGUCCUACACUGGGUGCAGUAGAAUCAGAAUCAGCUGUGUCCUACACUGGGCGUCUCUUGAGCAUAGCAUAGCAUUCCUCAAAGCCCACCUCCACAGUAACACACUUCCUCCAACAAGGAUAUAUCUAUUCCAACAAGGCCACACCUCCUAAUAGUACCACUCCCUUUGGGCCAAGUGUUCAAACACCUGAGUUUAUGGGGGCCAUACCUAUUCAAACCACCACACUAGCUAUUGUGAAUAGAGUGGCAGUGAACACUACUGAGCAAGCAUCAUGGAACAGGAUGUUUUUGGACAUGUGCAAAGGAGUAUUAUAGUUGUGUAAUAUGUUAGACUUAUUCCUAGAUUAGUGAGAAUUCUUAAAACUCUUUCCAAUGUGGCUCUACCAGUUUUGAAUCCCCCAACAGUGAAUGAGGGUUCCCUUUUCUCAAAUUACUCAACAGUAUUUGUUGGUGGUUGUUUUGUUGAUCUUAGCCAUUCUGAGUAGUGUAAGAUGAAAUCUUAGAGUUGUAAUUUGAAUUCCUCUAAUUGCUAAGAUUAUGAACAUUUUACAGCCAUUUUUAUUUCUUUUGAGAAUUCUGUUCAGGUCCAUAGUCUAUUUUAAUUGGUCAUUUGUUUUCAUAACUCUUUAUUUUUAAGUUCUUUGUAUAUUUGGGAUAUUAAUCCUCUGUCAGAUGUCUCUCUGGCCAAGAUUCUCGCCUACUCUGUGAGUUUCUUCUUCACCCAAUUGGUUGUUCUCAUGGCUGUACAGAACCUCUUUAGUUUUAUGAGGUGCCACUUGUCAGUUGGCCUUAUUUCUGGGCAAAGUGAGUCCUUUUCAGAAAGUCAUUUCUUACACCUGUCUCAUGCAGGAUACUUGCCAAAUUUUCCUCUCUAAGUUUCAGUAUUUUGGGUUUCACAUUGAGUUCUUUGGUUCACUUGGAGCUCUUUUUUCUUUGAGCUGGGUGAUUUCAACGAGUCUAGUUUCACUCUUCUACAGGUUUUCCCAGCACCAUUUGUUGAAGAUGCUGCCUUUUGUCCAGUGUGUGUUUUGGCAUCUUUGUUGGAAUGGAGAUGUGACAGCUGUGUAGGGGAUUACUGAAUUUGCUCCCUGACAUGAACAAAGAAUUGAAUGACUAGGAAAGACAGAAGACAAAGCCACCGAGAAGGAGAAAACAGCAGCUUUAUCCUGUCAGGAUGGCAGAAGCCUAAGGCUAGAAGUCCACUAAACCAAGGCUGAAUUGGGUACUUUAUAGGGCCCUUGGUUCCUCUUCUUUCCCCUACUGGUCCUGUCUAGAUACCUGCCAUUUCCUCACAGAGUUGUCUGGGAACAAAAAGCAACCAUCUUAUAGAGGCUGCUUUUGUUUUCCUUGUUUACCUAUGUCCCUCUAACUUUGCUUAAUAUCCUGUGGUGGUUUGAAUAAGAAUGGCCUCCAUAAGCUCAUAUAUUUGAAUGCUUAAUCACCAGGGAGUGACACUCUUCAAAAGGAUUAUAAGGAUUAGGAAGUGUGGCCUUGUUCAAGGAAGUGUGUCACCAGGGGUGGGCAUUGAGGUUUCAAAGGCCCAUGCCAGGCCCAGUGUCCCUCUUUCUGCCUACAGAUAAGGAUAUUGCUCUCAGGUACUGCUCCAGUGCCUCUCUGCAUGCUGUCGUGUUCCCUGCCAUGGUGAUAAUGGAUUAAACCUCUGAAACAAUAAGCAAGCUCCCAAUUAAAUGCUUUCUCUUGUAAGAGUUGCCUUGGUCAUGGUGUCUCUUCAUAGCAAUAGAACAGUGACUAAGACAUACCCCCUCUCAGGGAUUGAUACUGACUGCUGUUGGAGGAGUGGGUGUUGACUGCUUUACUUACUUUCUGCUCAGAGGAAGUGGAAUCUAGAGGUGUCAGUUCAAGUGAGGGGUGGUCCAGAGUGCUGUGGCCAGAUUCUAGUGGGCAGUGUAUCAGGGGCUCCAUCUACAGGACCUUCUGUAGUAGGUAUGUGGUGUAAAUAGUUUGAGUGAAGUUAUGUCACUUGGGGUACAUACUAAUGCUUCCUCGAAGAGCCAUAGACUAUCUAACAAUACCCCCACCCCCCAAGUACCAAGCCUGAGAAACUUCCUUUCCUGUUGUUGGUCAGGGGAGUCCAAGAGACUCCCAAAACAAUAUAGGCUAUUGCUAUUGCCUUUGCUCCCAGAAGUUGAAGAUAAAUCCCUAGUGUUGAUGACAUCUUGUUCUUCAGACACAGGACUUGGAGGAUUUGAGCUGAACCUGACCUGAAAGCAUCUUCCCUGAGGACUAGCUUUCAUAAUAAUGGAAGGUGCUAUGCAAGCUGCUGAAAGAAGGAAGCAGUCAAUAGUCCUACCAGUCUGUGAGGCCUGUGACAAAAACAUGACCAGCAUUGUUAAGGUAUCUAAGUGCAGUGGUGACACUCACAUUCUGGUGGCAACCAGCUGUUGUCUAAUUGGACUUCAAGCCCUGCUAAACAGUGGAGAAAUCAUGUCUUGGACUGUAAACCCAGCCAACUACCUGUUGCUAAUGAGGUCAUGGAUCUUCAAGGAGAACCUGUUGAUGCCAUGUCUGGUAACAGUAAUUCACCUAACGGCAUUCUAAAUAUUUGCCCUUAUACCCACAGAUAAAUGUAGCUCUCAUCUCUCAUCAAAGAAGUCUCUCUUUGCAAAAGACCGAGACAAUUACAGAAAACUGCAACUGACGAAGAUGCAGAGAACAACUGAGUGUAGGAUGCCCAACCCAAAUUGGUGCAUCUGCCACACAACCCCCAUCUCUGAAGUUCAUGGACCAUCAUAGAGGGCAUGGAAAGAUUUCAAGAGCCAGAGGACCACGAAGUUUGCUGUGGGAUUGUGUCUACUAGAAAUGACAGGGAAUGAUACCCAUGAUACCUCAAAAAUAUGGCUGCCAAUGGACCUGAAUAAUGACCACACCAAUAGGCAUGCUUACUCUGAAGGGGAAAUCUCAUAGGACCCCUAGACAAAGAACUACAGGCAACUAAUGAUUACUGAAAAAGGGAUAAUUAGUCUUCCCCAAGGAAUGAGCCUCUAAAUUUGUUAUCCACAAGGGAUCAACCCUGAAAACCAUAUACAUACAAGUAACAGUAAAUAGACUCAGAAGAUGGUAUUUAUAUAUUUAUGUAUAUGAAAGAAUAAUAAUAAAAAGAGGCCAUGAAUUUGAGAGAGAGUUAGGGGCAGACAUGAGAAAGACUAGAGAGAGGAGGAAGAAAUGAUAUAUUUUAGAUUUUUUAAAAUUGUAAAAGAAAAGAAAAGAAAAGAAAAGAGCAUGGCAGAGAGAGAUGAAGCUCAACUCAUGACCCUUAUCUCUUGCAUAACUUUCUGGUCUUCCUUAAUGGUGAUUCUAUCCGGGAGUUAAAUAGUCCUUUUUUAUAUGCCUACAUAUCUAGAACUUGUGUAGUUAUUGAUGUCUAUAAACAUACAAAUUUGUAUGUGUGAACUUUAUCUAAAGGAACUAAGCAGGACAAAUGAAACAGAAUUCAGAAAAAAAUAUCUUAAGCAAUUUCAGUGAUUGAACUGCCUCUUUUCUUUCCAUCCUUCCCCCUUCCUUCCUUCCUCUCUUUUCCUCUGUUCAUUCAGCUCUUUCCCCCAGUCUCAAUCCCUCGCUGCCUUUCUCUUCUUAGUGAUGUGAAGAUAGUUGUGUGGUUCACCAGUUUUCUUCAUUAGUAUCCUCUUGCCUCAAAGAUCUCUUGGGCCAAUGGAAUACUUUUAUGCCAAAUCCCUGUGACUUAAGGAAACUCACUAGCGGCAGUGUAGAGGUUUGCUGAAAUGUUUGCAUUUGGUGAAUAUCCUGGCAUGUACUCAAGAGGGACUGGCUAGCCUUGGACAAGAUCCUGUUGCAUUUUCCCAGGGAUCAGGUGUGCAUCCUGACUGUCUCUUGAGAGCAUGUUGGAAUCAGGAAAGGUAUGAGCAUCAGUCUCUGCAAGGCUCAAAAUACCUCAUGGAGAGAGUGCCUACAGAAAGCAGAUGUGCUCUGCAGUGGCUGCUCACUGUUGCUCUCCUUGUCAAAAUGGACAUAGUAAUUGGAGAUGGGGUCCUGGCUCUUGAGUGGGGUAUGUUCAUAUGCUUGAGGUGAGCAAGGACAUGUCUUUGAUCUACUAUACAAUAGUCCAUCGAGCAGCAUGUGGCAGGUGAGAAGGUCGAGGUCAGUGCUUGGCUUUGUUGAGCUGUGCAGCUGUCCUUGUCCCAUAUGUGGGAGCAGAGUCGGGUCACUAUGGGGAAGCACGUGUCCAGAAAAUAGGGUUUGCUGACCUAAUUGUGGGCAGUUGAAAGUGCUGCAUUAUUGUUGAAAUGAACGGUGACUUUCUCUCUGAGUUCAGCCCUCUCCUCCACAUUAUGCUGCUGCUUUUGCUGCUGUAACAGCAGUGGUGAAGAAAGAGGUAAUGUUUGGCCUUCCAGUGGGACAGAUUGGGAGCAGUAGUGGUACGGCAAUCGAAAACAUUAGAAGACGCUUUCUGAGGGCAAUUUUAGGUUAUUCUUAAAGAUACUCCCUAACAGAUUCAUGGUAUACGUUCCUAUUGGACUUCUUUUGCUGCUGUAAUUAAGAAAAAUGUCUAGCCACAGGUAUACAAUGAUUUCAAACAGAACCCCUUUUGAUAGUACCAAACCAGAGUCAAAAAUGUCCUUCCUUCACCCGGAGCUUCUCUCUCCCCUUUAGUGUGUCUCCCCCCCCCCCCCCCCCCCCCCAGAGUAACAUGGCAUCAAACAGAUGGUUCCUUGGCAUCCAGGGAUUUUGUGCUCUGUUUUAUAUGUGUGCCCUGACUUCCCUAGAUGAUGGAGUACACGCUGUGAAAGAAGUAAGCUGUUUCCUCCCAGGUCGCUUCUGGUCGAGUGUUUUCUCACAGCAGUGCAGACCCUGAGAUUCCCGGGUGAAUCCAGAAGAGCGCCCCUGUGAGUUUGGGCUGGCACACACAGCUUCUGUCAGUUCGUGAGUGUGGUCACCGGGGCAUGGCCAGAAGACAGCACUUUCUAAGUGGCAGCGGUCACGACGGAGAUGCAAGAUUGCUCAGAGGGCUGAGAGUGAGAGACUUUGCUCUCUUUCAGAGAGGUGCUGAGAUGCAGCUUGGGGAGUAGAAUCGGUAACCAAUGAUGGUGGUCCCGGUGAGAAUGAUCCUGCCUCCAGGUUCCUGCCCUGACUUCCCUAGAUGAUGGACUACACGCUGUGAAAGAACAGACAGAGACUAUUACAGAAAACAACGACCCAUCAAACUGCAGAGUUCGGGAGCCUGGUUCCAAUGGAUACAUCUACAAAGCAACUACAUCUAAGGCUCUGGGAAUAUUUCGGGAGAGGGGGCAGAAUGAUUCUAGGAACUAGAGAUUCAGGGAACAAGCUGUGAGGCUGUCUCCUAGUAAUGCCAGAAGGUACACAUUAUGUCUCAGCAAUGUGACUGCCCAAACAUGAGCUGAGCAAGGACACCAAUAGACAUGUCUGAUUGGACAGGGGCAAGCGGAACUAGGCCUCAGCCCUAGAAAAGCAAACAGGUAACUAAGGAAUACUGAGAGCUGGAGAAAGAGUCUUCCCCAGAGAAAAGUAGCAAUUGUUAAUCCUGUACCAAAUGAUCAGUCCUGGAAACAUACAUACAAGUAGCAUGAUACAGACUGAGCAGGUUGUAUUUAAAAAUAUAUAUGUAUAUACAUGAACACAUACACAGAUGCUUGAAGAAACAGUUAAUGAAAAACGCCAUUUGAAAGAUCAGGGAGGACUAUAUGUGAAUCUUUGGAGGGAGGAAAGGAAGGAAAGAUGUGAUUACAAUAGCAAAAAAAUUACAUUUUUUAGUCACUUUCUCAAUUCAGUAAGUCUCUGCAUGGCUGUUGCCUGUGUCCUAAGUUUUGGUUGACCUUUUCCCACAACCCCAUUGCCCGUAGCACCAUCCCCGUUUAAACCUUUCUAGCCCCAGAGUCCCCCCAACUCCACGUUCAUGUCACAUGCACUGUCCCUCCCCUCAAGACCUCCUCUCAUGGCUCCUUUCCUGUCCCCUGACUUCUGCAGACACUAACUCCUAUUUAAACACAGAAAUGGAAAACUAAGACGCUAGGGUCCACAUGCCAGACAACAUAGGCGGCUUCUGUGGCUAUUUUGACAGAAAUGCCAAAAGCAUACACUGGAGAACAGGCAGCCUUCCUCGUUGACACAUAGUCCUGGAAAACUAGAUAUACACGUGUAGAAGACUAAACCUGCAUCCCUAUCUUCCAUCCUGAAGAAAAAUCAGUUGCAUCCCUAUCUUCCAUCCUGAAGAAAAAUCAGUUCCAACUGGAUCAAAGUCCUUCAUAUGAGACCUGAAACUCUGAACAUGCCAGAGGGAAAUAUAGGGAAAAUUCCUCAAGAGAAGGGUAUGUAUAGCCAAGAACCUUCUUAAAAGGUUCAGUAGCUCAGGAAAUGGGCUCCAUAUUUGGCAGAUGGAAUCAUGAGGCAUUAACAACAUUCUCCACAGCAAAAGCCAGCAAAUUGCUGGAGUGAAGAGACAGCAUUCAGAAUGGGUAAAAAAUAUUUGCUACAUAUCCAUCAGGCAGAAAAUUAAUGAAUAAAUGGAUUCCAACAACUAUAAGAGAACCAAACAAGUCAAAAAUCCGUGAUUAAAACAAACACAUUUCUCAUGCAUACUAUAUGACAUGCAUGUAAACAAGAGGCAGACUGUGAUAAGAAUAAGGAGACUAGUAGGUGGGAAGAAUGUAAUGAGGAGAAAAAAGAGUGUAUGAGGUUGAAAAUGGCUAAGGAACACUUUGAACAUAAAGGGUAUUAGACCCAUUGCUAUUUGCAAUGUGUGUACACCAUUUAAAAAUGGGUGAAUGGGUCUGGCCCACCUCCUGAGGCCAUGCUACAGCUGUGCCAUACUGCUCUGGGGGGCCUGCACAGCCAGCUGGGGCCAUGGUGACCUCCGGGGACCGGCUGCUGCAGAGGGCCAUGUCUGGGUCCAUUCUGCUGCUGCAGCCAGUCUGUGUUAUGUCCAAUGGUGACCUCCGAGGCCAGGCUGCUGCAGAGGGCCAUGUCUGGGUCCAUUCUGCUGCUGCAGCCAGUCUGUGUUAAAGUCCAUGGCCCAUUUCACCCCCAAAGGUGGCACCGAUGCCCAGGUGUGGGCUCCUAGCUGUGGCUAUGUUGGUGCCCGAGGCCCAUGCCACUGCUGGGGCCAUGACGAUCUGGGUGUCCUGAGCUACAACACAGGGUCAUGGUAAAGUCUGGGCCUGAGCUGCUGCCAAGGGCCAUGUCUGGAUCUGGGGUCCUGCAGCAGCCAGGGUCUAAGUUGAUGCCCAUGGAUGGCUUCAGUUGCCACAGAAGUCCAUACAGAUUCCCAGGGUCCAAGCCACCACCUGACGUCAUGUAGGUCUCUGAGGCCCAUGCUGCAGAUGGGGCCAUACAGAUCUUAGUGGGCUGGCCUGCUACCCAGUGCCCUGGUGACAACUGGUUAGGGCUUCAGCUGAGGGCCAUGUCUGGGUCGGUGGUCUUAAGGCGGCCAGUUGCUGUGCUGAUGUCCCUGGCUCCUGUUACCAUCAAAGGUCAUGCAGAUGCCAGGAGUCUGGGCCACCACCUAGGGCCUUAUUGGUGUUGAAGGGCCACACUGCCACUGGGGCCAUGAUGAUCUGAGUGGCCUGGGCUGCUCCCUGAGGCCAUGGUGACAUCUAGGCCCCUCUGCUGCUGAGUCCCAUGUCUGGGUUCCUGAGUCUAAAACAGCCGGGGGUCUGUGUUGAAGUCCCUGGCCUGUGUUGCCACCAAAGGUUGGAGUCUGAGCCACAAAGCUGUGGGCUGGAUGGUGUCCGAGGACCGUGACACUGCAGGAGCCAUGCUAUCUAAGCAGCCUGUGCUGCCAACCAGGGCCAUGAUGUUGUCUAGGUCUGAGCUGCUGAGGGCCCUGUCUGGCUUCGGGGUCCUGCUGCAGCUGGGAUCUGUUGAUAUCUGGGGCCUGUGUUUCCACAGGGGCCAUAUGAGAACCAUGCAUGAUGAAAGCCAAGGGUCAGGCUGAGCCAGCCCUGCCCUAAGCUGGCCCUGGCCCUCGCUGGACACUGCAGCAAAGAGCUGGCCCCAGCACUUGGGAGAGAUGGCCCUACCGCUCACCAUGGGUGUGGGAAAGCUGGCCCUGAUGGCAUGGGCAUGAGAGCGGGCUCUGCUGCACACCUGAAUGGGGCGGCCCCAGUGGCCAGGUCUGACUAGUUCAACUACCACCCAGGCCCACAUCCAGGGUUUGGGGUUGGCUCACCCUAACAUCUGCCCCAUCUAUGACCUGCCAGAGCAUGUGAAGGGACGGGUCCUGUGGAACAUUAAUCACAGCGUCUCCAUGACUGGGGGCGCCCUCCUGAAAACUAAGAGGCAUUGCAGAGAGGGUCUAGUGAAGAAUGUGUACCAGAAACCGGAAGUCUUGAACGAACCAGACCAUUGCAAUGAACAUUGUCAAAUAAAGCUGAUAGGACCACAGGGUAUACUGUGUGACACUGAGGCUCCCAUUGCCACCAAGACACAUGAAGAGGUGUUGGAGAGGCAGAGAAUACGGAGGAGCAAAGUGCUUUUAUUUAUUUAUUUAAUCUGUCCAUGGAUGUUAACAAAAUGGCUGGCCUCCCAUGGAUAUCAUCUUGUAGUAAGACAACACCUUGCCUUGUAUUAAGGCUGUGAAAGGCAGUCCAGUGUGAGGAGUAGGGUCCCCCAAGUCUGCAAGAGUCAGGGACAGCUCCUGCUCCACUGUUAGUCCACAAGAACACGGAGGUACACAACUGUUGCAUAUAUACAGAGGGCCUAGGUCAGUCCCAUGCAGGCUCCCUGGUUGUUGCUUAAGUCUCUGUGAGCUGCUGUGAGCCAGGUGAGUUGAUUCUGUGGGUUUUCUCAUGGUGUCCUUGACCUCUGUGCCCCCUACAAUCCUUCCCUGCUCUGUUCAGCAGGAUUCCCUGAGCUCAGCCUGAUGUUUGGCUGUGGGUCUCUGGGUCUGCUUCCACCAGGUACUGGAUGAAGCCCCUCUGAUGACUAUUGACUAGGCACCAAUCUAUGAGUGUAGCAGACUAUCCUUAGGCAGUGUUACAUUGACAUUUUUUUUUCCACACACGUCUGGUUCUAUCCUAGGUCUCUGGGCU